UUUGGCCUAUGAUGACUUGCAGAAUUAUUUGCCUACAUUGUUUGAGUGAUAGUAUGAUAUUAUCUGCAAAUUUCUGAGGCUAUC